AGAGUUUGAUCCUGGCUCAGGACUAACGCUGGCGGCGUGCCUAACACAUGCAAGUCGAACGAGGUAGCAAUACCUAGUGGCAGACGGGUGAGUAACGCGUAGAUAAUGUGCCCUCUUGCGGGGGAUACCGUUUCGAAAGGAACGUUAAUACCGCAUAACACGGUUUCGGGGCCUCUCGAGACCGUCAAACUUCUGGGGCGAGAGGAGCAGUCUGCGUUCUAUCAGCUAGUUGGUGAGGUAAUGGCUCACCAAGGCUACGACGGAUAACUGGUCUGAGAGGAUGAUCAGUCACACUGGAACUGAGACACGGUCCAGACUCCUACGGGAGGCAGCAGUGAGGAAUAUUGCGCAAUGGGCGAAAGCCUGACGCAGCGACGCCGCGUGGAGGAAGACGGCCUUAGGGUUG
rnacentral:rRNA from 1 species